UAGCCCUUACCCCACCGAUUAAUAGUAUUAAUCUGUUAGGGCGGGGAAAGGUACUGU
ensembl:miRNA mdo-mir-7375 mdo-mir-7375